rnacentral:lncRNA from 1 species
GUCCGGGAAGCCGGCAGCCGGCAGGCGAGGGCGGCGGCUGGGGCGGCAGGACCCCAGCGGCCAUUACGCGGCCGGGGCCUGGUGCUGCUCGCGCGCCCCCGCUGCCAGGCGGCGAAACGCGGGUGAUUCCUGCCAAAAAACGUGUGGUGCCCGGCGUACCACCCCCGACUGCGAGCUGAAAACGUGCCCGACCUCAGGGUAUAUUUUUUUUCAAACUAACUCCGCCUGUCCUUUAUUCCAGUAGAACUGAGGAGCAGGAUGGUGGAGGAGGGUGACAGGCAGAGAGUGACAGCAUCAGAUGUGCCUUGACUUGUUUUAUGUACCACGGGUCUCAGAAGAUGAAGAUGAAGAUCACUAUUUCAGGAGCCCUUGCUGUGUCAGCUGGAGCAACAAUUGCUUUACUUGUUUGCUCUUUUGGCCCUGGAGUGAUACUGGGUGAUGACGUUUUUCCAUACGCAAGCAACCUGGCACUUAUGUAGAGGAAACCCUGCUCCUUUUGAAGAGCUUUACGUGGCUGGCUGGGGACAGUCGCCCUUCCGAAUUGAGCAAAACCCAUGGCAUUCAUGCCCGCACCCUAGCCUGGAUUGCUCAGACAUGUCCUGUUGCCUGGGCUUUCUAUGAUGGUGGAACGGGCUUGAUAAGGCUUAACGUGACAUGGUGAAUGAUGCGCAGAGGCCUUUCCAUUCCUUCGGCUCUGGUGCCCGCGGUCCACCUGUAAGAAGAUAGCGUGAAAAGCUGCUGGAGUUUCUACCUCUUGACAACAUCCCAGCUGUAGACUAGCACUAGCAAUCCUCCCGUGGCAGUUUUAAUUAUCGGC